UACGGGGGGGGCAAGCGUUGUUCGGAAUUACUGGGCGUAAAGGGCUCGUAGGCGGCCAACUAAGUCAUACGUGAAAUCCCUCGGCUUAACCGGGGAACUGCGUCUGAUACUGGAUGGCUUGAGUUCGGGAGAGGGAUGCGGAAUUCCAGGUGUAGCGGUGAAAUGCGUAGAUAUCGGGAGGAACACCAGUGGCGAAGGCGGCUGCCUGGGCCAGUUCUGACGCUGAGGCGCGAAAGCGUGGGGAGCAAACAGG
rnacentral:rRNA from 1 species